GUGGAUCUACAGCACCUGAAAGACCUUGGUCUCCGCUCUUCUUAGUCAAUCGGCAGGACUCCUUGGAUGAGAUUUUGAGGCUUGUGUUUCCGUUCCAGAGAGCAGCUGUAAGAGUUAACUGUCAGAUACAGAGCAGAAGAAGAUGAAAUGAAAGCGUGGCCUUCGGUACAGCGCGGUCCAAAGUAGUGAAGACGCCUAACAGAUGCUUCAACAUCAUCCAACCAUCGAAUUCGGCACGAUACAACGAUACUAAUCGAAUCGACAUGGUCUUUCUAAUUCGAUACAUAUCAUAAUCAACCCAGAAAAGCCACUAUAACGUCCAUCCCGCUUACAGGGACCCCCCAAACGCAAUUUUUAACCAAAAAAAAACAUUAACUUUUUAGUGUUAUAACAGAUAUUUUUUCGUGUUUUUCUAUCAGUAAUUUCUGGAUAAAUCUGUAGAUAUCAUUCCAAUUAUUUAUCAGAUUACGUGAUAUGCCACCUAAAUUCAACUGGACAUAUGCAAGAACGAAAAUUCACUUAACAAAUUCUUGAUUCGUAUUUUAUUCGUAAAAAAUAUAUUAUAUUAAAAUAAUAAAAAAUAAAUAAUUUUAAAUCGUAUUGGGUUCAGUUAUGUAACGUCUGAUUCAAGCCGGUGAUGGGUCCCAGUGUCACGGAAACGGCUUACGAGACGAGAUAUCGAUAUAUGUGACAGAUAACAAUCGAGAAAUGUAUCCCUAAACUCAUUCUGGAAAGUUAAGUGAGAACGAGA